rnacentral:rRNA from 1 species
GUGGGGAAUAUUGGGCAAUGGGCGGAAGCCUGACCCAGCGACGCCGCGUGGGGGAAGAAGUCUUUCGGGAUGUAAACCCUUGUUGUACGGGACGAAGGAAGUGACGGUACCGUACGAGGAAGCCCCGGCAAACUACGUGCCAGCAGCCGCGGUAAUACGUAGGGGGCGAGCGUUGUCCGGAAUCACUGGGCGUAAAGCGCACGUAGGCGGGCUGUCAAGUCGGCCGUGAAAGGCACGGGCUCAACCUGUGCAUGUCGGUCGAUACUGGCGGUCUGGAGUAUGGGAGAGGGAACUGGAAUUCCCGGUGUAGCGGUGAAAUGCGUAGAUAUAUGGAAGAACACCAGUGGCGAAGGCGGCUACCUGGUCUGCAACUGACGCUGAGACUCGAAAGCAUGGGUAGCGAACAGGAUUAGAUACCCUGGUAGUCC